AUACGCCUGGGAAGUUUUCUUGGUCUCUUUUUCUCUAUUCAGACUGGUCUUCGAGGGGAUCUAUUGCUUCUUUCUGACUGAUGGAAUGAAGAUCUAGAGACAGAGGAGGUAGAGUAUCUGUCUUGUCUCACAAGAUGCCUUCGCCUCUGGUCAUCUCGGUAUCGGAGUUGAUGGUCUGGAGGAUGGGUUCUGUUUAAUCUUAAGGUCCGACACUGAAGAAUGGUCUUUUCUAUUCGAGCAUUCCAGUUCAUCGUGGUCCAGGAAUCCACAGAUCUUGCAAUGCUUCUUCAUUUUUUCAUAGAUAAGGGGUAUCAGUGAUUUCCAGCUUCUCAAAAU